GUGGAUAUAGCUCAGUUGGUUAGAGCGCCGGAUUGUGACUCCGGAGGUCGUCGGUUCAAUUCCGAUUAUCCACCCCA
rnacentral:tRNA from 1 species